AUGGCGGCUUGGAGUAUUUCACCGCAGGACACGAUUCGAAUGGUGUUAGAAAAUCCUGAUUCCGACGACGACGACCUUUGUUCGGACGCUUCUUUGGAGAGCCCAGAAGACAUUGAACAAAUUCUUCCGGACUUUCGAUGCCGGAGGAGGACGGCUUUGAUGACGAGGAUUAGGAAAUAGUUGACAACAUAACGAGAUGAAAGCGGGGAGCAGAAGGCGGGGGCACGGACAUGACCACGUUGAGGCGCAUGACGAAAAUGACGGCGAUCGAGGCCUGAGGCACAUACUCCUGCCGCCGGCGCGCACUCAGGUGGCCAAUGUGUGUUUUUUCACAUGCCGGACAUUUCGUCAUGCAGCGCGUUUGUGCUGUUCACGGAGAUCUACCCUCGUUUGUGCUGUUCACGGAGAUCUACCCUGAGUGGAACGUGAAGAAAAGCUACAAGCGCCGACUAUUUCUUGAGGAACUUGGCAAGGCUCUAAUUCGGCCAGAAGUCCUAAAACGGGAACCACCGCCUUCUGCCGAAGGCUUGGUUGAGCAGCGAGCUGGACCCCCGUCCAAGCGCAAACAAUGUGGCCUUUGCACAAAGCCACUUCGGGCUUCGAACAUAAUAAUAAAUAAUAAUACAUUUUAUUUAUAACGCACUUUACAUUUGAACAACAAAUCUCAAAGUGCACAUCAUGAAUUGUGUAUGUUGUUAUUAUGUUAACUGUUAUAUUGUAUGUAUGUUUUGUAAAAUUGUUAACAUAAAUUCUAUCAUCAAAUCA